CGCAUGCGCAGUGCCGACUGCCGCUGUUGUUGGGGGUUCUCCGACUGGAGCGGAAGAAGUGCUGGAGUGGUGCUCCGGUGAGCUCCGGAGGUGCUCUGCACCCCUGUUUAGAUCCAAGUAAAAUGGACCCGGGGAUCAAGCUGCCCCGGUUUAUGAGGUGUUGAGCGAGUAUUUCUGGUCUGGGAUCAAAUGUUUGUUUCUGGAGUUCCUUUGGAAGCAAUGCUGCUAAUCUGAGGAGAGAAUGAGUUUGUAUUCCAUCCCUCACAAGGACAGGCUUUAGACCUGCGGUGAGAGAUUUAUUGGAAGAAAAGCCCACAAAACUGGAAGCAAACCACGACUGUAGACGAGGGAACAGCAGCGAGUGAACCAGCCCGAGGACUGAGAGCACCGACUGGAGAGAAACCCUUUUGACUCAGGGUUUCCAUUGAUUCAGUCAGGAGCAAGUCUGUGAACAGAACUGUACACAAUACAAAAGAGCCACGAGUCAGCAACUGUCCCUUGAUUGGGAGAGGACAAUAGAUGGAGGUUGCUUUGGACCAGAGCCAAUGACCAGGUGUUAAAGGCCAGACAGAUGACCUGCGGAAUGCGACGUUUGAAUUGAUAAGGAAUGGAUAUAAAAGUGGAUGCCUUGUGGGUGCUGGGGGUGGUAACUUCGAAGAAUAACCAUCGCAGACACAAGCGAGAAGAACCCUGCGUGAAGCACGUGGAGAGGGCGUCGGGACCACGAGGAACAAGGAGCGUCUGGCCAGCGUAAAUUCCUCCGCCCGGGUAAUACCUUUGAUAUUCUUUGACUAUCCAGCAGAGUCAGGGGUCCUCAGCAGGUUUGCACACAAGGUAUUUAGUGUAUGACUUCAAGUAUCAGUUAGUUUGAACAAUACAGGUAAUUGUCAGUAAAUACAGAACUCUCUGUGCCUCACUCAGAAUAAUUGGAAGAGGUAGAAGCGGUAUCUGUCUCUCUCUUUUUCAAACAGAAUUGGCGUCCCUGGGUGGGCUCGAGGUUAAAUCUCUUGUUGAGUCAGCACGGGACUCGAGCCGGACCACGUGGGUGAGAAAUAGAGAAAUCGGAGCGGGGUAACUGGUUGGUAGAGACCCAGGAUGAAGAAUUUAGGGAAAUCUGCAAGUCCGAAGGACUUGGCUAGCUUUGAUCGGAGGGAAUUCCUCCAGAAGUACUUAUUGGGGAAUAGCCAAAAUACGGGCUGUGUGCUGGACACACCAGCGGUAAAGGCGGCGAAGUGUUGUUUAGAAUUGCCCGAGGAAAAUUGUCGGACAAGGAAUUUAAGCGAUUACUGAAGCCAGUAGCAGUUACCUGCCUCCCUCAGGAAUUAAUAGGAAAUCGCAAAAAAAGCCGACGCUGAGAGAGAUAAGUUAGCAGACGAAAACAAAAGAAUCCGAGAGGUGAAAGGGGAAAGCCCUAAUGGCUGCUCGGAAUCUCCCAGUAUCGCGCGAUCUCUUUCCUCCAUCGAGGGUCCAGUGGCUCCAAGAACUCCUGCCAUUACUCGGUUCAGGCGGGUCCCUUGCCGAAAUUCUCUGCUCCCCUUCUCUUUUCUUCAAUUAUCCAUUCUGGUACUACAUUCUCUCUCGAGCAAAUCGCUUCCCCGUCCUUCCAUUUCUCCAUGUUCUAUUCCCCUCUCUUAUCAGAUUCCUUCUUCUCCAUCUGUUACUUUUUUUCAAAUAACAAAUACAAAGUAUUUACUUCAUCCCUCUUCCUCACCCACCCAUCUAAACGCUCACUUGGCCACAAAUAUCACGUACCAGUCUCUACUCAGUAUAGCCUCCCCCACCGUCUUAUUCUGACAUUUUCCUCCUUCUUCUCCAGUCCAAUUCGCAGCUCUAUUUAAAAUGGCCUCGACCCGAAACGUCGACUCUUUAUUCACCUCCAUAGAUGCUGUCUGAACUGCCGAACCCCUCCAGCAUUCUGUGUGGGUUAACAAACUUUCAGGAAGGAACUGAUGAAAUCAUUUGACUAUCAAUAAAGAGUAAUCAAUCCUGGAAUAUGUAUGAUGGACAUGGGGAAAAACGAGUACAUCCAAUCUAAAGGGUGUAAGAAACGCCAAAUAUCAACAAUACCACA